ACGGAUGAAUCAGUAUAUUAUUUGAUAUUCAACAUGUCGCUUAGUGUUAAUAAAAGCUACAAAAUAAUCAGCAGAUGGAUGCACAAAACUCUUACAGAUUGGCAAAUUGUUCUCAAAGCAAAUGGCGCUGAUGUUUUGAUCUAUGAAGAAUACGUUGAUUUCACAACCAAUGUUAAUCAUUUUGAGUUAUUUAUUUUAAUGUUGAGCAAACAUUGCCCAAAUUUGACGCAUGUUCGUUUAUUGUUUUCUGGCGAAAGUAGCGAUUGUUUUGACGGUGGAUUUGUGAGAUCUCUGUUACAAUUGCCAAACCUAAUCUGUUUAAGUCUCUUUGAUACCCCCGCAUCCGAAAUUUUGGCUCUAAAGACUGACUUUAAUCAAUUGACAACUUUAAAAUUAGUUGGAUUCGAUGAAAAUGUGACUGUUAGCGAUUUUUCUAACAUAUUUGGUUCAAUGAAGAAUUUACAAAAUGUGAUAUACGAGUACAAAUCCUUUAGUGAUAAUCAAAUUGUUGCCGCUUUGUCAAAUGUAUCAAAAUUAAAAUCCUUAACUUUGUACUAUGCGCCGGAAAGCAAAUUAAAACAGUUGAAGAAUUGUAACCAACUGGAAAUACUUCAUCUCUACAAUAUUGAUAAUACACUGGGUCCAGAUGAUUUCUUAGAAAUCUUCAAAGCAAAGCGGGACUUACAUACUUUAUCGGUCUACUUUAUAGAUAGCACCUUGUGCAAGCAGUUAUCUCAACUGGAUGCGUAUUGCCCGAAACUAACUUAUCUGACGAUUAAUCAGCAGUUGAAGAACCUUUCUGAUUUUGUAAAUCUAAAAUAUCUAAGAUUUGAUAUGAAUGGUGAAUCGAGCUUACCGAUCUUUGAAACAAAAGAAUUGGUCGACAGUUUAUCCAUAAGAUAUGCUGAUCGACUUGAAAUUUUAGAUAUCAGCAUGGCUUCAAAUCAUGCACAUACGACCGAAAUUUUUAAGCUGAAAUCCCUCAAGGCAUUUUUAUGUUUGUCGUGGCCCAGCAAUAUGUAUCAAUGUCUUACCAAACUAGAAAAUCUUCAGUUUUUCUCUUUUGAAACCUAUUCAGAAAAUGUUGACGACAGCGAUGCACUAAUAAAAAUGAUUGUUAGUUGUAAGAAUUUGGGAUAUUUGCGUUUGCCAUACAAGACAGAACUUUUCGAAGAACCUUUUAUAAAUUUAUCGUAUUGUCUAAGUAAAAGUAGCAUCCGACCGGAGUCCCCAUUUGUGUUGUCUGUGUGCAGCAGGAGCGCAGUGGCCGAUAUAGAAGAAAAGUUGACGAAGCAUACUCAAAGCAAUUUGCUGCAAUUGGAUUGGAAUGGAAAUGUUUUUGCUUCCAAGCUCAAGGACCUAAUCGCUUCCUUAUGUCACACGGAAGCGAGCGCUGACGAUAAAAGGAUAUAUAAAAAUCCAGUCAAAGCUGCUGGUGAUCCUUCUGGUCCAGAGGAUAGUUGGUUGUCAAAUAUGAAUUAUAAGUUGGCUCUAACAGCAUGCUUUAAAAGAUUUAAUCUCGAAUAUGAAUUGGAACUUGUUAAUAGAUGCCGAGAUUUUGCCAUCAGCAAUGCUGAAUAUGAAUUAUCCAACAUGCAAUUCGCAUUUAAUUUUAAGUACGAUGCAAUAGAUGAACAAAAUGUGUAUCCAAAGGAACGUAACUAGAAUUCUAAUUGCAUUUAAUAAUUGCAUUAACAUAACGGUUCUGAGUUCAUCAA